rnacentral:rRNA from 1 species
GCGGCGCGUUUUAAGCAUGCAAGUCGAACGGUAAUAGGGUGCUUGCACUCUAUGAGAGUGGCGAACGGGUGAGUAACACGUAGGUAAUCUACCUUGAGGUUGGGGAUAGCCUGUGGAAACACAGGGUAAUACCGAAUGUCCUCAUUUCGGCGAGGAAAGAGGCUAAGGCCUCGCUUUGGGAUGAGCCUGCGGCUCAUUAGCUAGUUGGUGGGGUAAAGGCCUACCAAGGCGACGAUGAGUAGCCGACCUGAGAGGGUGACCGGCCACACUGGGACUGAGACACGGCCCAGACUCCUACGGGAGGCAGCAGCUAAGAAUCUUCCGCAAUGGCCGAAAGGCUGACGGAGCGACGCCGCGUGGACGAUGAAGGCCGGAAGGUUGUAAAGUCCUUUUAUUGGAGAAGAAUAAUGCGGGGAGGGAAUGCCCUGCAGAUGACGUUAUCCUAUGAAUAAGCCCCGGCUAAUUACGUGCCAGCAGCCGCGGUAACACGUAAGGGGCAAGCGUUGUUCGGAAUUAUUGGGCGUAAAGGGCGCGUAGGCGGCUAUGAAAGUCUGGUGUGAAAGGCCACCGCUUAACGGUGGGAGUGCACUGGAAACUACAUGGCUAGAGUUCAAGAGGGGAAGCUGGAAUUCCUGGUGUAGGGGUGAAAUCUGUAGAUAUCAGGAAGAACACCUGUGGCGAAGGCGAGCUUCUGGCUAUGAACUGACGCUGAGGCGCGAAAGCGUGGGGAGCGAACAGGAUUAGAUACCCUGGUAGUCCACGCUGUAAACGAUGUGCACUAGGUGUUGGCUGUUGUAACGGUCAGUGCUGAAGCAAACGCGAUAAGUGCACCGCCUGGGGAGUAUGCUCGCAAGGGUGAAACUCAAAGGAAUUGACGGGGGCCCGCACAAGCGGUGGAGCAUGUGGUUUAAUUCGAUACGCGAGGAACCUUACCAGGGCUUGACAUAUGCAUGACGAUCAUAGAGAUAUGGUUUCCCUUCGGGGCGUGUAUACAGGUGCUGCAUGGUUGUCGUCAGCUCGUGCUUUGAGGUGUUGGGUUAAGUCCCGCAACGAGCGCAACCCCUGCUGUCUGUUGCCAGCAUUUCGGAUGGGGACUCAGACGGUACUGCCGGUGACAAACCGGAGGAAGGUGGGGAUGACGUCAAAUCAUCAUGGCCCUUAUGUCCUGGGCUACACACGUGCUACAAUGGUUGGUACAGAGCGGUGCAAAACCGCGAGGUGGAGCAAAUCGCAGAAAGCCGGCCUCAGUACGGAUUGGAGUCUGAAACUCGACUUCAUGAAGUUGGAAUCGCUAGUAAUCGCGCAUCAGCAUGGCGCGGUGAAUACGUUCCCGGGCCUUGUACACACCGCCCGUCACACCACCCGAGUUGGGGGUACCCGAAGUCGCUCGUCUAACCGGUUACGGAGGACGGUGCCGAAGGUAUGCCUGGUAAGGGGGGUGAAGUCGUAACAAGGUA